GCACCGACCCGCGUCACAAGCAGCGUCAAGGCUAACCCAGUUAGCGGUACGCAACGGAUUUAUUCAAGGAACAGUCAUGGCCCGUAUUGCUGGCAUUAACAUUCCGCCG
rfam:Bordetella pertussis strain Tohama I, complete genome